ensembl:miRNA mdo-mir-7262f mdo-mir-7262f
CAAAAGACUUAGUGCAGUUUUAAAACAUUAAAUAUUAAAACUGUGCAAAGGCUUUUGGG